GGUCGUGUGGCCCAAUGGCAAGGCGCUUGACUACGAAUCAAGAGAUUCCAGGUUCGAGUAAGGCAUAACCU